CACCAUUACGUGACUAGGGUUUCUAGAUCUCAUCCUCUGCUCUCACUCUCUCUCUCUCUCUCAAUGGCGAUUCGAGAUCUAGGGUUUCUCCAAGAUCGAAUGAUGUACAAUGUUCUAAUGCAAAAAUGGAUUUCGUGGCUUUUAAACACCCUUAAAUCUUUUGGGCGGCCUUUUGAAUUUCAAAAGCCCUAAACAUUUUCAGAUCUGAACAAAAACCAACCACGAAUACACUUUCAGAUCUCACAUCUCCUCCUUGGUUUCUGCGACACUCUAUCUUUGUCCCUUCUCUGGUUCUAGAGAUGACGAUCGUCGUGUCAAGGAAGAGGUAUGCGACGAAGCUGCGGUGGUGGAACCUCUGAAGAUGGACAGUGAGGGCGGCGGUUAGGGUUCGAGCCGUGAAACCAACUUUUUGAGAUUUGCUCUUUGCAUUGGAGAUUCUGUUCAAGGAGAUAAUUGGGGUGAUGGUGAUGGUUCAUGGUGACGAUACAGGGUUGAUUUCAGACUUCUCAAGUUGUCUACAGGUUCAUAUCCCGUCUGGUGCGAGAUCCCUUUGUUUGGUUUAAAAAUUGUAGAUCAUUCUUUGUCGGAGCUUUAGAAUUUAUAUCCGGUGCCGACAUAAAAACCGCCAUCGAGGUCGCAGGGAGCCAAUGGCUCGGCUCAGACUAUUCGGUUCCGUGGAAGUGGCGAACCGAACGGUUGAGAAAAUCAAGUCAAGUCUGGUCAACCGGGUCGUGUACACUUACUCAGUUGUCGUCCGAAUCAACAAAGCGGUCAGUCUUUGUCAGACAAAUAUAUUAGUAAUUAAAUGCUGAAACUUUUGCUUGCUACUAAUCGAAUGCAGAACACAAAUACGAGAUUGUGAGGAAACUACAAGAGUGAAAGCAUAUAUGCGGAAUGACAGGAGAUGGUCAAAAUGGCCCAGUAGAAAUUUGGUGUGAAAUCGAUCAGAGACGAAGAAUUUGAGCUUAUAUCAGCUCUUUAUCUCCAAGUCAGCAUCAUCAGCCAGGCACUCAUUUUCGUUACAAGAUCGCGAAGCUGGUUGUUUGUUGAACGCCCUGGUCUUUUACUCCUCACCGCCUUUUUUAUAGUUCAGCUGUAUUGUGUUUGCAGCUGGAUGUGACAUCAGCUCAGCUUCUUGUGACUGAUAGUGACUUCGGGAGUCCAGAAUUUAGGAAACAACUUACUGAUGAUACUGAGCUUUAACACAAAACAGUGACACAUUGAUUAGCGAACAAAAUAGAAACACAUAUUGAUACCCGAUACAACAGAUCCGCUUGGUCAUUGGCACUGAUGCCAGCUCAGUUUCAUAACAGAUUGAAGUACUCCAAGUUUAUGCAGGCUUUGCCACCAAAUUAGGUGGUGGAUUUGGUCAGAAGGUCAUUACCCCUUGCUCAUCAUCAGAUGAUGACCCAAAUUAGGUGGUGGAUUUGGUCAUUACCACUUGCUCAGAUUCUGUUGUUGAAAGAACUAACUUAAGAAAAUUGACUUUUCGGUUGAUAUAUUUUGGGGUUACUUAUAGUAUGCAAUAAGUAAAUUGGGUUAUAAAAUGUCAAUUUUUAUGUUUACACAGUGUAUUUAGAGCUUAAACAUAUUUUGUAACUUUACUUAAACAUAUUUUGUAACUUUUCAUACUUUUAGACAUCGCCUAGGUCUCGAGUUGAAAGGGACACCACUUGCUUAUAUGUAUAUACUUACUCUAUUUUAAACAA